rnacentral:rRNA from 1 species
UACGAAGGGACCUAGCGUAAUUCGGAAUUACUGGGCGUAAAGAGCGCGUAGGCGGUUAAAUAAGUUAAUUGUGAAAGCCCAAAGCUCAACUUUGGAAUUGCAAUUAAAACUACUUAGCUAGAGUUUAACAGAGGAAAGCGGAAUACAUAGUGUAGAGGUGAAAUUCGUAGAUAUUAUGUAGAACACCAGUUGCGAAGGCGGCUUUCUGGGAUAACACUGACGCUGAGGUGCGAAAGUAUGGGUAGCGAAGAGGAUUAGAUACCCUCGUAGUCCAUACCGUAAACGAUGAUUGUUAGAUGUUGGAAAUUUAUUUUCAGUAUCACAGCUAACGCGUUAAACAAUCCGCCUGGGGAGUACGACCGCAAGGUUAAAACUCAAAUGAAUUGACGGGGACCCGCACAAGCGGUGGAGCAUGUGGUUUAAUUCGAAGCUACGCGCAGAACCUUACCAACACUUGACAUGUCUGUCGCGGAUUCCAGAGAUGGAUUCCUUCGGUUCGGCCGGACAGAACACAGGUGCUGCAUGGCUGUCGUCAGCUCGUGUCGUGAGAUGUUGGGUUAAGUCCCGCAACGAGCGCAACCCCUACUUCUAGUUGCCAUCAGGUUAAGCUGGGCACUCUAGUAGGACUGCCUGUGAUAAGCAGGAGGAAGGUUGGGAUGACGUCAAGUCCUCAUGGCCCUUACGUGUUGGGCUACACACGUGCUACAAUGGCAGUGACAAUGAGAUGCUAAACAGCGAUGUUAAGCUAAACUCAAAAACCUGCCUCAGUUCGGAUUGCACUCUGCAACUCGAGUGCAUGAAGCUGGAAUCGCUAGUAAUCGCUCAUCAGCGCGGAGCGGUGAAUACGUUCCCGGGUCU